GAGAUGGGUGGCUGGGAAGGA
rnacentral:miRNA from 1 species